UUAUUUUUACGCAACCGAGAGUUUUUCGAUGUUAACUUUCUCUUGCAUACUUUUUGUUUCUUAUUUUGUAUGCAACUUAAAAGAUAUUUCAAUAAAACUUUUGCGUUGAGUACUUUUACAACAGCCAUUUUGUUUGUCGGACGGACUGAAAAUUUUAACGCGUUUAGUUAAAGUUAAAAAACCGAAUUUUCCACCUUAAAUCGUUAUGUGAUACAAGUUGAAUCAGUGCAUGUUAUGUCGGUUGCGGUCGGCGGAAGGCAUCUAGUUCCAGCGAUGAUUCUGUUCAGUACCUGCACCAGGAUUCGGACCGCUAGAUGCUGCAGCAACAUGGGAGAAGCCAGUGGUUCCGUCGAUGUCAACGAAGGACGGAACAUGAGGCGUUCCGGUUGGACGAACCUACUUCUUUAAGUUUCACCAAGCAAAGCUACUGGGAAAAAUCAGUCAUAAUAACACCAGCAGAAAAAUUGAUGUUCCAGUGUCUCUGGAAGGAGUACCGGUGAGGUCAAGGAAAAGUAAACACCGUUAAAACUAAGGAAUUUCAAUGGAAGGAGUUGAAGGAGAAAGUCGACGCCGAAACUGAAAACGCGACCAAGGCAGUGGGAAUUAAUAAACAGUUGCGGCAGCUUCGGUUGGUGCGAUAACGAUGUCAAUCCCUCCGGUUAGAAAGCCAGUUGAAUCACCGGCACUGGCCACCGCUAGCAAUUUGCUUACCGUCUUUGUACGAUAGGGUCGGCAUAGAAUUCGUUCUCAGCUAUGGAUUAGGCCAUGGCUGCGACGCUGGCGGCCACCGAAGUUCCCGAGAACCCUGCCCCAAAAAUGGAUGAACAAGAAACCGCACCGACAUGCUGAAUCCUGAACAAAAAUUACGGCAACAGGAUCAUCAACUACAUUAUAACAUUCGUUCUGCUGAUCCAUGCUACAUGUGACUUAAAUGGUUUUCUAUCUUGCACACGUUCUUCAAAACCACGUUAAAAAUCAAAAUUCAGGAUGUGGUUCUUGCUUCCGGAACAACAAGCACAGGUACCUGGUGGCAAGCGACAGUGAGGAAACAUUCGAGGCAACCUGGGCCAAGAUGACUAUUCCGAAUCGACCCAUCGACGGUUUCGAAAGCAACGACUCAAGUGAACACGAUAGGCAUUUCGAUUUCACUUAAACCGGAUCAACAUUUUUAAGACGACUUAUAAUUCCGUUUAUAUAUUGUCUUUUAAGGAACCAGAUGUGUUCUUACUAAUUGAAAAUUGAUGUUUUUAUUAAAUUAAAUUAAAUUUAUUCAAAUUCAGCUGUUUUUCUUACUACGUAGCGCAAACAAUGAAAAAUUUCCUUCAUUUUAAUUCUUCAUACAAUUCUAUGCACCCGCGAGAAAAUAUAAAAAAACUUUGUAGUGAGUAAAAUGCACUAAACUUACGUUGAGUUAAAUACGCUAAACUCAAUGUUUAGUUUAAUGCAUUAAACUUAACUUCGA